AACGAACGCUGGCGGCAUGCCUAACACAUGCAAGUCGAACGAUUGCCUUCGGGUGAUAGUGGCGCACGGGUGCGUAACGCGUGGGAAUCUGCCCUUAGGUUCGGCAUAACAGCUGGAAACGGCUGCUAAUACCGGAUGAUAUCGCGAGAUCAAAGAUUUAUCGCCUGAGGAUGAGCCCGCGUUGGAUUAGGUAGUUGGUGGGGUAAAGGCCUACCAAGCCGACGAUCCAUAGCUGGUCUGAGAGGAUGAUCAGCCACACUGGGACUGAGACACGGCCCAGACUCCUACGGGAGGCAGCAGUGGGGAAUAUUGGACAAUGAGCGCAAGCCUGAUCCAGCAAUGCCGCGUGAGUGAUGAAGGCCCUAGGGUUGUAAAGCUCUUUUACCCGGGAAGAUAAUGACUGUACCGGGAGAAUAAGCCCCGGCUAACUCCGUG
rnacentral:rRNA from 1 species